rnacentral:rRNA from 1 species
CAGCAGCCGCGGGAAUACAGAGGGUGCAAGCGUUAAUCGGAAUUACUGGGCGUAAAGCGCGCGUAGGUGGUUUGUUAAGUUGGAUGUGAAAUCCCCGGGCUCAACCUGGGAACUGCAUCCAAAACUGGCAAGCUAGAGUAUGGUAGCGGGUGGUGGAAUUUCCUGUGUAGCGGUGAAAUGCGUAGAUAUAGGAAGGAACACCAGUGGCGAAGGCGACCACCUGGACUGAUACUGACACUGAGGUGCGAAAGCGUGGGGAGCAAACAGGAUUAGAUACCCCUGUAGUCCCUGUCUCUUAUAA